rnacentral:rRNA from 1 species
CUAUAGUUUGAUCCUGGCUCAGGAGAAGGGAAGCCAUAGGCUUAACACAUGCAAGUCGAGGGGCAGCAUGAUAUCAACUUGCUAAGGUCGAUGGCGACCGGCGCACGGGUGCGUAACGCGUAUGCAACUUGCCUUACAGAGGGGGAUAACCCUCUCUAAAUCUCAACUAAAACCGCAUACACUUGUAUUAUUGCAUGAUAUUACAAGGAAAUAUUUAUAGCUGUAAGAUAGGCAUGCGUACCAUUAGCUGGUUGGUGA